rnacentral:ncRNA from 1 species
AAUAUUUGAAGUGGAGAAUGUGCUUCCACACACCUGGAGACAGGUCAAAAGAAAUGUAGGAAAGGGUACACCUACCUUAUAUU